AUUGAACGCUGGCGGCAGGCCUAACACAUGCAAGUCGAGCGAGCGGCGGACGGGUGAGUAAUGUAUGGGGACUGCCCGAUCGAGGGGGCAAACUACUGGAAACGGUGGCUACUACCGCAUACUACCGUAUAACCCACAUUGGAUUAGCUAGUCGGUGGGGUAAAGGCUCACCUAGGCGACGAUCUCUAGCUGGUCUGAGAGGAUGAUCAGCCACACUGGGACUGAGACACGGCCCAGACUCCUACGGAGGCAGCAGUGGGGAAUAUUGCACAAUGGGCGCAAGCCUGAUGCAGCCAUGCCGCGUGUAUGAAGAAGGCCUUAGGGUUGUAAAGUACUUUCGGCGGGGAGGCGUUACCCAAAGAGGAAGCACCGGCUAACUACGUGCCAGCAGCCGCGGUAAUUC
rnacentral:rRNA from 1 species